AGGUUAAGCUAGUAAGAGCGCACGGAGGAUGCCUAGGCACCAGGAGCCGAAGAAGGACGUGGCGAACAACGAUACCGCCUCGGGGAGCCGUAAGCAGGCUUUGAUCCGGGGAUUUCCGAAUGGGGAAACCCAGCUGGGGUAAUGCCCAGUUACUCUUGACUGAAUACAUAGGUCAAGUAGAGGCAUACCGGGGGAACUGAAACAUCUAAGUACCCCGAGGAAGAGAAAACAAAAGUGAUUCCGUCAGUAGCGGCGAGCGAACGCGGAUUAGCCCAAACCAAGGAGCUUGCUCCUUGGGGUUGUAGGACAUCUCACAUGGAGUUACAAAGGUGUUGGUUAGGCGAAGAGGUCUGGAAAGGCCCGCUAGAAGAGGUAAAAGCCCUGUAACCAAAAAUCAGCACUCUCCGAGAUGUAUCCUGAGUACGGCGGGACACGUGAAACCCCGUCGGAAUCCGGCAGGACCAUCUGCCAAGGCUAAAUACUCCCUGGUGACCGAUAGUGAAGCAGUACCGUGAGGGAAAGGUGAAAAGCACCGCG
rnacentral:rRNA from 1 species